rnacentral:lncRNA from 1 species
GCAGGGGAUAUGGAGACUUAGCAACAAACAUUGGCUCAACAAAUGAAAAACCCUUCACCAAUACAAUUUCUAAUCAGCCCAUUAUACUUAUACUAAUAGUUUUCUAACUUUUCUAAGGAACCUGUUUUUAGAAGGUUUAAAGCAUCUCGUGCCUCUCACGGUUGGGAGGCUGUGAGCGAUCACAUGUGGCCGGACAAGCCUGUCAGGCAGGCCACAGAACCUUCAGAGGAGUUUGUAGGUUAAAACACUCUUGUCACACCCAGGAGUCUUUAUUAACUGGAGCUCUAAGUCAACUCCUUUUCCGAAAAAGGUGGUGGGGGACAGCCCCCCGUAAAGUCAGAGGUGUAGGUGAGAGCACAAAGUAGUAAAGUAGGCAGGCUCUGGUUAUGGGGGUAGAAGCUCGAGGAGUUCCAGGGGGACUCCUGAGGCUCGAUCCCGCCUUUGCGUAUGUUGGGCGGAGUACAUCACUCUGGCCCCCAACACUUUGUAUCUGGGGGAGACUCUUAAAGGCACGUGUUUCUCCUACUUAUCACUUAACUCUGAUUUCCUGUUUUUGCUCACUUCUGGAUCCCAUUCUGUCUCUUGUGGCCAUUCCUACUUUUGGAUGUGCUCAACUCCCCAAACACCAGCCCCCACCUCCUUUCCCUGCUGCCUCCCAAACCAGCCACACUCCCAUGAAGUCUCUGCCACCAACAUUCGCAGAUCACUGUGGGGCUGGGCGCCUGGGUCAGACCAGCAGGUCAAUCAACACCAGAUACCAGGGAUCCCUGUUCUUAGACGUCCCCAGCACAGCGGCUGCCUGGGUUUGCCCCUCACUGUCCCUUCUGGUUCCCACUGUCCUGUCCAGUUUGACCUGUGCAUGGGGGCUGUGCAGCAAAGUGGUCAGCCUCUGAGGCUUGUCCAGGACGGGCACACGUGGAGCUUCUUGCUCCUCACACAGAACACUUUGGUCUGACACUUCUGGUCCCCAAGUGUCUGGACAUUUUCCCUUCACCAAGUAAUUCUCUGCAACCUGCUGAGUGUUCCACAAUUCAGUUCAAGUCUGACACUAACUGGAGUUAGCACAGACCCUGAAGGUUAGGAGCUAAGUUCCACAUGACUGUCCCCUGAAUGUUAGAUGCCAGUUACACACAAUAGGUCCCCAGGUGACACACAACUUCUAUCCAACUUGCUUACAAAUUGGAUGUUUGCACAGUCCCUUCCCUGGAUUCCAUCAUUUGCUAGAACAGCUCACGGAAUGAAUUAAGCACCCAAACCUGUUUGUCUUGUCAAUUCCUUUCAAAUUUACUGUUUCUUUGUCUAAAAAGUAUAAAAGCUGUCUGCUUUGGCCACUUUGUAGGUACCAUUUCUAUGAGACCUUUGUGCUCACCAUUUAAACUGUUUUCUUUUCCUCCUGUUAAUCUGUCCUGUGUUAAUUUCAUUAUUGGUCCAGCAGCAAGAACCCAGGAGAGGUAGGGGGGAAAGUUCUUCCUCCCUGACAGGUGUGCAAAUAGCCCAGUACCUGGAUGUGUUUGCUAACCCAGAAGCUCCCCAUACGUACUAUUGAGAUUUUUAUGAAACCUCAUCACAUAGUAAAGGGAUGCUCAAAAUUCUCCAAGCCAGGCUUCAAUAAUAUGUGAACUUCCAGAUGUUCAAGCUGGUUUUGGAAAAGGCAGAGGAACCAGAGAUCAAAUCGCCAGCAUCUGUUGGAUCAUUGAAAAAGCAAGAGAGUUUCAGAAAAACAUCG